rnacentral:rRNA from 1 species
UACGUAGGGUGCGAGCGUUAAUCGGAAUUACUGGGCGUAAAGCGUGCGCAGGCGGUUCGUCGUGUCCGAUGUGAAAGCCCCGGGCUCAACCUGGGAAUGGCAUUGGAAACUGGCGGGCUUGAGUGUGGCAGAGGGGGGUGGAAUUCCGCGUGUAGCAGUGAAAUGCGUAGAUAUCUGGAGGAACACCGGUGGCGAAGGCGGCAUCCUGGACCGGUAUUGACGCUGAGGUGCGAAAGCCAGGGGAGCAAACGGG